rnacentral:rRNA from 1 species
UACGAAGGGGGCUAGCGUUGUUCGGAAUCACUGGGCGUAAAGCGCACGUAGGCGGAUUGUUAAGUCGGGGGUGAAAUCCUGAGGCUCAACCUCAGAACUGCCUUCGAUACUGGCAAUCUCGAGUCCGGAAGAGGUUGGUGGAACAGCUAGUGUAGAGGUGAAAUUCGUAGAUAUUAGCUAGAACACCAGUGGCGAAGGCGGCCAACUGGUCCGGUACUGACGCUGAGGUGCGAAAGCGUGGGGAGCAACAGGAUAAG